AUUUGGUACUAAGUACUAGCGCCGCAGGAGUGUUUCAAUCAAAAAUUUUGUUUGUUUGUUUGCAUUAUUGAAAGAAUCCUAAAAUCAUAAGGAAUUCUUCUCACUCCUGCAGUACUAGUGCUUAUUGCUGCAU
rnacentral:pre_miRNA from 1 species